CAGUAGCCGCGGGAAGACGGAGGGUGCUAGCGUUGUUCGGAAUCACUGGGCGUAAAGGGCGCGUAGGCGGCCUGUUAAGUCGGAUGUGAAAGCCCGGGGCUCAACCCCGGAACUGCAUCCGAGACUGGCAGGCUUGAGACCGGGAGAGGAGGGUGGAAUAUCCAGUGUAGAGGUGAAAUUCGUAGAUAUUGGAUGGAACACCGGUGGCGAAAGCGGCUCUCUGGCCCGGAUCUGACGCUGAGGCGCGAAAGCGUGGGGAGCAAACAGGAUUAGAUACCCCAGUAGUCCCUGUCUCUUAUAC
rnacentral:rRNA from 1 species